rnacentral:pre_miRNA from 1 species
UUUGUACUUCCUCCGUCUGUAAAUACUUGUCACAGAAAUGCAUAAAAAUUGAUGUAUCUAAAACUAAAAUACAUCUAGGUACAUCCAUUCCUUUGACAAGUAUUUCCGGAUGGAGGGAGUAUGUG